GCAGAAGGACGGGUGCCAAAGGCAGCAAGGGGAGGGCAGAAGUGGGCGGAGCAUCAGGCUAUGCUCCCAUGCCACAGAUGAUUUGCUCUGACGCUA
rnacentral:misc_RNA from 1 species